rnacentral:rRNA from 1 species
CCGCACAAGCGGUGGAUGAUGUGGAUUAAUUCGAUGCAACGCGAAAAACCUUACCUACCCUUGACGUGUCUGGAACCUUGGUGAGAGCCGAGGGUGCCUUCGGGAGCCAGAACACAGGUGCUGCAUGGCUGUCGUCAGCUCGUGUCGUGAGAUGUUGGGUUAAGUCCCGCAACGAGCGCAACCCUUAUCCCUAGUUGCCAUCAGGUAAAGCUGGGAACUCUGGGGAGACUGCCGGUGAUAAACCGGAGGAAGGCGGGGAUGACGUCAAGUCCUCAUGGCCCUUACAUCCCGGGCUACACACGUGCUACAAUGGCAGGUACAGAGGGCUGCGAAGCCGCGAGGUGGAGCGAAUCCCAGAAAACCUGUCUCAGUCCGGAUUGAAGUCUGCAACUCGACUUCAUGAAGGCGGAAUCGCUAGUAACCGCGAAUCAGCAGGUCGCGGUGAAUACGUUCCCGGGCCUU